rnacentral:rRNA from 1 species
GGUUGAUCCUGCCAGUAGUCAUAUGCUUGUCUCAAAGAUUAAGCCAUGCAUGUCCAAGUAUAAACCUUUAUAUGGUGAAACUGCGAAAGGCUCAUUAAAUCAGUUAUAGUUUAUUUGAUAGUACCUUGCUACAUGGAUAACCGUGGUAAUUCUAGAGCUAAUACAUGCGCAAAGGCCCUUUGGGGCUGUAGUUAUUAGAUAAGGCCAACCCGGGCAACCGGCGGGUGGUGAUUCAUGGUAACGCUACGAAUCGCUUGCGAUGGGUCAUUCAAAUUUCUGCCCUAUCAACUGUG